GGCUCAAAACAAUUAGCAAUGUAUACCAAGGUGUUUCUACUAGCUGUCCUUUUUUGCCUGUUGGGAGCAAUCCUCUCCAGACGACGUUUUUGCGAUAAAUCCAUGUCUCCGAAAUGCAUUUUUUCUUCUGCAUGGAAAAGAAAUAAGACCAGGGCUAGGAAUAAGAAACUGCGUUUUUUUUUACCACUUUGGCAAUUUAUUAAAAAAAAAAUGUGACAAUAUCAAUCUUUAAAGUAUGCCCAUUCAGAAGGCACACAUUUUGCCCAUUUUUCGGGCAAUUUAUGAAUUCUUCGCCAGAAGAAUUCUUUUUCCUUGGACCCAAACCAGUCUUCUAGCCACUCCUUAAGGUCUUCAUAGGAAUCGAAGCGCUGGUUGGCUAAUCCGUGUCCCAAACUGGCGAACAAGUGGUAAUCUGAUGGAUCCAAGUCAGGUGAAUAAGCCGCAUGGGGUAAGGACUCCCAGCCAAACGUGGCUACAAAUUCCUAGGUGCCUCUUGUCAGGUGUGAAGGCUGCCUUUUUGCGUUUUGGAGCAGAGAUUCGUUCAAUUCUUCCAAUUGUUGCUGGUAGCGUUCGCCAUCAACGGUUUCACCCGGUUUUAGGAGCUCAUACCAAACGAUUCCGGCCUGAUCCCAGAAACCGCACAGCAUGGCUUUGCGGCCGAAACGGGCUAACAUUUUUUUUGUUUGGUGUUUUGAAAUAGAUCCACUUUUCAUACCAAGUGACAAUGCAAUGCAAAAAGGCCUUGGUGCCAAGUAAAUAAAUAAGAGCAUAAUUUGUGCAGUUUAUUCAUUUGGGCACCACCACAGGUUAUGGUCUUUGAAAAGGCUCAAUGACCCAACUUUAUACAUCAAAUAUACAUCAUACCGUUUUCUGUUCUCUUGUUGGCGUUCUUUGAGCUUAUGCGGAACCCAUCUGCCGACCUUUAAAAUUAUUCCCAUGGCUUUGAGGCGUCUUCGAACGGUGUUCUGGUCAACAUUCAAUUGUUCCGCUAGUUGUCCUUGGGUUUGGCCCUCGUCCUGAUCAAGCAACGCCUGCAAUUCAGUGUCCUGAAACUUUUUGGUGGUCUUCCACGCUCUUUACUCUCAACUCCAAAUUCUCCGCUCCGGAAUUUUUUUAACCAGGCUUCUGAUGCUGAAGUUAAGUAAUUUCAACCUUUCUCGGCUUUUAGGCAUGCUACGGCAUAUCUAGCUUAUGUAACCCAAUACUUUCCUGGUAUAUAAAAGGGGGUAAGUAUUAAGUAAACAAUCAAACAAUAAGCAAUGUUUACUAAGGUGAUUCUACAAGCUGUCCUGUUUUGCCUGGUGGCAAUCUCAAUGAAUGCUCGAAUACAUUGCCCAGAUAAGAACCGAACUGAUAAUUGCAUUUUGCAUGGGAAAUGAACGUUAACGCUGCUGCACAUAAGGCACAUGCCUAAAAAGGAGAAAAAUUAAAAUGUAAAAUGAAGUUUAUGCUUUUGAAAAAUAAAGAAUAAUGAAAAUGUA